rnacentral:rRNA from 1 species
UCGAUGAAGAACGCAGCGAAAUGCGAUAAGUAGUGUGAAUUGCAGAAUUCAGUGAAUCAUCGAAUCUUUGAACGCACAUUGCGCCCCAUGGUAUUCCGUGGGGCACGCCUGUUCGAGCGUCAUUU